rnacentral:rRNA from 1 species
UACGUAGGUGACAAGCGUUGUCCGGAUUUACUGGGCGUAAAGAGCGCGCAGGCGGUCGUUCAAGUCGAGUGUGAAAGCCCCCGGCUCAACUGGGGAGGGUCAUUCGAUACUGAUCGACUCGAAGGCAGGAGAGGGUAGUGGAAUUCCUGGUGUAGCGGUGAAAUGCGCAGAUAUCGGGAGGAACACCAGUGGCGAAGGCGGCUUUCUGGCCUGUUCUUGACGCUGAGGCGCGAAAGCUAGGGGAGCGAACGGG